AUGGCCAAGGCCUCAAUGCUCUUCCUGUUUCUCACUUCUUUUUGGGGUUGCAAUGCCCAAUUUACAAUGACCCAGCCGCCCUCUGUGUCAGCUUCCAUUGGAGAGACUGCUACAAUUUCCUGUAGAAAAAGUAGUGGGAGCAUAAGCGACUACUGGAACUCCUGGUACCGACAGAAGCCCGGCAGUGCUCCCAUACUGCUCAUAUAUGCUGAUAGCAGCAGAGCCUCAGGCAUCUCUGACCGAUUCUCAGGUUCCCUGGACAGCUCCGCCAAUGCUGCUGUCUUAACCAUCUCCAAUGUCCAAGAAGGGGAUGAGGUCAAUUAUUACUGUUCAUCUUAUGACGGCAGUAACAAGAUUUGGGGGGGGGGACAGAGGAGAAGCAGGCAGAAGAAGCCAUAG